rnacentral:rRNA from 1 species
UACGUAGGGGGCAAGCGUUGUCCGGAUUUAUUGGGCGUAAAGAGCGUGUAGGCGGCCAGAUAGGUCCGUUGUGAAAACUGGAGGCUUAACCUCCAGCUGUCGAUGGAAACCAUCUGGCUAGAGUCCGGAAGAGGAGAGUGGAAUUCCUGGUGUAGCGGUGAAAUGCGCAGAUAUCAGGAAGAACACCCGUGGCGAAGGCGGGUCUCUGGACAGUUCCUGACGCUGAGGCACGAAGGCCAGGGGAGCAAACGGG